GAUGAACGCUGGCGGCGUGCCUAAUACAUGCAAGUCGAGCGAACAGACGAGGAGCUUGCUCCUCUGACGUUAGCGGCGGACGGGUGAGUAACACGUGGAUAACCUACCUAUAAGACUGGGAUAACUUCGGGAAACCGGAGCUAAUACCGGAUAAUAUAUUGAACCGCAUGGUUCAAUAGUGAAAUACGGUUUUUCUGUCACUUAUAGAUGGAUCCGCGCCGCAUUAGCUAGUUGGUAAGCUAACGGCUUACCAAGGCAACGAUGCGUAGCCGACCUGAGAGGGUGAUAGGCCACACUGGAACUGAGACACGGUCCAGACUCCUACGGGAGGCAGCAGUAGGGAAUCUUCCGCAAUGGGCGAAAGCCUGACGGAGCAACGCCGCGUGAGUGAUGAAGGUCUUCGGAUCGUAAAACUCUGUUAUUAGGGAAGAACAAAUGUGUAAGUAACUAUGCACGUCUUGACGGUACCUAAUCAGAAAGCCACGGCUAACUACGUG
rnacentral:rRNA from 1 species